CUACGGGGUGCACCAGUGAGGAAUAUUGCACAAUGGGGGGAACCCUGAUGCAGCAACGCCGCGUGGAGGAUGACGCAUUUCGGUGUGUAAACUCCUUUUAUCAGAGAAGAACAUGACGGUAUCUGAUGAAUAAGCUCCGGCUAACUCCGUGCCAGCAGCCGCGGUAAUACGGAGGGAGCAAGCGUUAUUCGGAAUCACUGGGCGUAAAGGACGCGUAGGCGGGACAGUAAGUCAGGUGUGAAAUCCAAUGGCUCAACCAUUGAACUGCACUUGAAACUGCUGACCUAGAGUACUGAAGGGGCAGAUGGAAUUAGUGGUGUAGGGGUAAAAUCCGUAGAUAUCACUAGGAAUACCGAAAGCGAAGGCGAUCUGCUGGGAAGUUACUGACGCUGAGGCGUGAAAGCGUGGGGAGCAAACAGGAUUAGAUACCCGCGUAGUC
rnacentral:rRNA from 1 species